CAUCACUGCGUUUAUAUGUCUAUCGAUAUGCAAAGACAAAACAUAUGUUGUAAAAGCAUAUGGUGCGAAAAGUGAAGUGCAUUAAUUGCAAAAUUGCAACUGGAAAGUAUAGUUUCUAAUAAGAAUACUAAUAAAAGCAUUAAUAAUUGAAUAUUAAUUAAUUCAUUGUUUUUACAAAUUGCAGCAGCUUACUACCAAGUACUAGAGAGUAUGUGCACUACAAGGCAGAGAUGUGUGUGAAAGCAAGCUAACUGCAAGGUUAUGUUAAUUAUGCAAAUGUAAAUAAAAGUGUUGAUACUUAAUAUUUUUUGUUUUUCUUUGCAGUAUAUCAUCCAGUGGUACAAGAAGAAGUAGCUGAGAAGACUCCGCGUCCCAAACAUCGAGUAGUGCCGCUAGUUUAGUUAAGUGCGUUUGUGUUGAUAUUAGUCAGUGCACUGUAGUAUUUGUUUACUGCAUGUAUGCCUAUACAUGCAAAAUAAAACUUUAAUUGAAUAUAAAUAUCCAAUUUGAGUUUUAUUUGCUAGAAUACCCUUUAUAGGAUAUGUGCAGUCGAUCCAAUUUACAGUGUAUAUGCUGCAAUCAGUUGCUUGGAGACGACCCGCUUUGCUCAGCCGGAGGGUUGUCUGGAUUUGUGUUGUGUGUGCGCAAAGUGCCUGUAGUGGGUGGCAACGGCGCCAGUUGCUGGAAGAUUGGCAGGCGCGACUGUGAGGCAGCUGCGUUGCCUAUGUUGAGGGCCACCUCUGAAGAGGAUGAGUGUGUGGCAGCGUCAUUUGGUGGAGCGUCGUUGCGACGAGCUGCAUCGUUGCGAAGAGCCUCGUAUCUGCGUCGGGCUGCUAUUCUGCGAAGGUUUUCGCUUGUGUUGCGUGUUGAAGCUGGAUACGAUCUAGUGAGCCUUGCACUCACAAUAUUGCGACUGUGCUCACGGAAAGUAAUCGGGCCAUACACCGGAGGAUGACGGCGAAGAUAACUAGCACGGAAUUCCGCAUCUUCUUCAGCUUGUCUUCGCUGUUGUCGCUGAGAGCGCAUUUCAAUUUCGUUAGCCAGAUAAGACACCAAGUUCAGAUCUGAUGCGAGCAUUUGAAACAAAAUAUUGAGCGCCAGAUACAGUUCUCAGUGCUUUGUUUUGUAUGACUCUGAUGCGAUCAAACUGAGUUUCAGACAGGAGUGCACCCCAGACAGCCUAGCCCUAACCCUCGUGACAACCAUAGUGACGUGACUAGUGAAGUUCAGCUUUGAAUCCAUCAUGACACCCAAAUACGGAUGAGAAGUGUCAUUUUCAAUCGCCUCAUUUCCAAUACAAAUAGCCUGAUACGGCAGUGUGUUCCUCAGCUUACUACCAAGUACAAGAGAGUAUGUGCACUACAAGGCAGAGAUGUGUGUGAAAGCAAGCUAACUGCAAGGUUAUGUUAAUUAUGCAAAUGUAAAUAAAAGUGUUGAUACUUAAUAUUUUUUGUUUUUCUUUGCAGUAUAUCAUCCAGUGGUACAAGAAGAAGUAGCUGAGAAGACUCCGCGUCCCAAACAUCGAGUAGUGCCGCUAGUUUAGUUAAGUGCGUUUGUGUUGAUAUUAGUCAGUGCACUGUAGUAUUUGUUUACUGCAUGUAUGCCUAUACAUGCAAAAUAAAACUUUAAUUGAAUAUAAAUAUCCAAUUUGAGUUUUAUUUGCUAGAAUACCCUUUAUAGGAUAUGUGCAGUCGAUCCAAUUUACAGUGUAUAUGCUGCAAUCAGUUGCUUGGAGACGACCCGCUUUGCUCAGCCGGAGGGUUGUCUGGAUUUGUGUUGUGUGUGCGCAAAGUGCCUGUAGUGGGUGGCAACGGCGCCAGUUGCUGGAAGAUUGGCAGGCGCGACUGUGAGGCAGCUGCGUUGCCUAUGUUGAGGGCCACCUCUGAAGAGGAUGAGUGUGUGGCAGCGUCAUUUGGUGGAGCGUCGUUGCGACGAGCUGCAUCGUUGCGAAGAGCCUCGUAUCUGCGUCGGGCUGCUAUUCUGCGAAGGUUUUCGCUUGUGUUGCGUGUUGAAGCUGGAUACGAUCUAGUGAGCCUUGCACUCACAAUAUUGCGACUGUGCUCACGGAAAGUAAUCGGGCCAUACACCGGAGGAUGACGGCGAAGAUAACUAGCACGGAAUUCCGCAUCU